rnacentral:lncRNA from 1 species
CUCAAAUUGGUCUCCGCGCGGCAAUUGUUGCUAGAGAUGAAGGGAGAUGGGCAAGACCAUAGCACAGACAACGAAGUGAUUCCAUUCUUGGUCUGUGACCAUAGCAUGAAGUAUACUUCAUAGGUGUUUGUAUAAUCAAUCAAUGCUGGCUGUUCUACACUUGGGGAAUAAUGGUUUGGUGAUUGGAUACAACACCACUUCAAUCCAUAGUGGCAAUUUUCAUUUCCGUGCAAGUGCCCUUCUAACUUUUGACAUAGCAAGGCAUGGAUUAAUCCUUGGAAGAAUUCCUCAUCACAGCGAAGUUAACAAAAUCAAAAUCAUUGUACAAUUGGCAUUGUGACAAACAAUGGAGAGAACGAAGCAAUCAAAGAACAGCGUUGUCAUUUUUUGAUUCGCCGCUGGAGAUUCAGAAGCAGAACGCCAUGUCACGAUGUCAGCGUCGAUGAAGGGUAAAUUACCUCAUAUGUAGAAGUCGUGUUUUCUUCAGUUCUAACUUCUAAGGCCAAAAAUGCUAAUUGCUACAAUAAUCAGAAACCCAUUUAAAUAGAUUUGGCAACAAGAUGUUGUUGACUUGUCAUGUCACUAAGGUAAGAAAGAACGGUAAUGCAUUUCGUCGUAUAAAAUCAUUCCUAAAAUUUUCCUAAACAAUGCACACCAAUACCGUCUGACGAUAUACCAUGAGAAUUUUGGUUUGAAUUGAGAACCGUUGUGCUGUUUUUUUUUACACUGAAACUUGCAAAAAGAAAUCUUGAUGAAGUGAUAGAGAACCUACUCCAAAAGCUGUUGCCUUUUUUAUUAUCUUGGCAAGACUCUUGGAAGUCUUUCUGUCGGCUCAUGUUGGAUCAUUGCAAGCUCUUUAUCUGCAUUCACUAUCACCCAUACAGAUUCAGUGGUUUUACAUUUAAAAAGUCAAAGGAAUGGAGCAAGUGAUGAUGGGUACGACAAAUUAAACCUCAGCAUUUCUUCAUUGGCAAACAUUCUCAUUGACGGUGGAAAAAAGCUGAAUUUCCUUUUAUGGGUGCUGAAAAUCUUUUUGAACAUUUUCAACUACUUUUCCAAUAACCCAAGCAAAUGCAGAAGUUUUUUCACAUUGAUAAAUAAUUAUAGUAAAAUGGGAGAGAAUUCUGGUUGAGGCCAGAUACCUGUAAAACCGUAACUGUUGCAAGCACAUGGGAAUAUCUCCACAUUGAUUUUCAUAUGUUGUGAUCUCAUGAUCAAAUUUUGCCAACUAACUACCAAAAAUUGUAUGUAACUAUAUUUGCCCAUGUCAGAAAAUUGCAGAAGGAAAGAGAUAUUGGAAGAAAGCAACUUGCACAUUACCGUUGGUUGCUGCUCCGUCCCGAAGAUAAAAUAUUAAAAUUUUUAUAAAUUGAA